UAUUUGAUGACAGUUGAUGGGUUGCAUGCAUACUUUGAAUGUAGUUUUCCUUCUUUUGGAUACAAUGCUGAACAAUCUUUCUUUUCCGUGGUUUAGAAUCGCGUAUUUUGUGCUUUGGAGCUGCUCCUAUAUUAUUUUUCAAUGGGUUAUACAUGCAUGUGGUUUCACAUGGUGGCCUUAUCCAUUUCUCGAGA